rnacentral:ncRNA from 1 species
UAAUUAUAAAAUUUUAGAAUCUAAAAAUAGUUCAAAUAGGGAAGAUCUUAAUUCGAUGCAAAGUGAAGAACCUUACCAGGGCUUGACAUGCCGUGAAUCCUCUUGAAAGAGAGGGGUGCCUUUGGGAACGCGGACACAGGUGGUGCAUGGUUGUCGUCAGCUCUUGUCGUAAGGUGUUGGGUUAAGUCCCGCAACGAGCGCAACCCUUGUGCUUAGUUGCUACCAUUGAGUUUGGAACCCUGAACAGACUGUUAGUGAUAAGCCGGAGGAAGGUGAGGAUGAUGUCAAGUCAUCAUGCCCCAUAUGCCCUUGGGGACACACGUGCUACAAUGGCCAGGACAAUGGGUCGCAAAUCCCCGAGGGUGAGCUAACUCCAAAAACUUGUCCUCAGUUCGGAUUGCAGACUGCAACUCACCUACAUGAAGCCGGAAUCGCUAGUAAUCGUCGAUCAACCAUACGGUGGUGAAUUCGUUCCCGGGCCUUGUACCUGUCACAUUAUGGAAGCUGACCAUGCCCAAAGUCAUUAUCUUAACCGCAAGGAAAGGGAUGCCGAAGGCGGGGCUAGUGACUGGAGUGAAGUCAUAACAAGAUAGCCGUACUGGAAGGUGCGGCUG